UACCAGCACCCCGAGUGGUCGGGACGAUUAUUGGGCCUAAAGCAUCCGUAGCCGGUCCUACAAGUCUUCCGUUAAAUCCACCUGCUUAACAGGUGGGCUGCGGAAGAUACUAUAGAGCUAGGAGGCGGGAGAGGCAAGCGGUACUCGAUGGGUAGGGGUAAAAUCCGUUGAUCCAUUGAAGACCACCAGUGGCGAAGGCGGCUUGCCAGAACGCGCUCGACGGUGAGGGAUGAAAGCUGGGGGAGCAAACCGG
rnacentral:rRNA from 1 species